rnacentral:tRNA from 1 species
UCCGGUGGGCUCAGUGGUAGAGCGCAGGCCUGGCACACGUGAGGCUCUGGGCUCCGCCCUCGGCACUGGAA